GAUGAACGCUGGCGGCGUGCCUAAUACAUGCAAGUAGAACGCUGAAGGAAGGAGCUUGCUCUUUCCGGAUGAGUUGCGAACGGGUGAGUAACGCGUAGGUAACCUGCCUGGUAGCGGGGGAUAACUAUUGGAAACGAUAGCUAAUACCGCAUAACAGUAGAUGUUGCAUGAUAUCUACUUAAAAGGUGCAAUUGCACCACUACCAGAUGGACCUGCGUUGUAUUAGCUAGUUGGUGAGGUAACGGCUCACCAAGGCGACGAUACAUAGCCGACCUGAGAGGGUGAUCGGCCACACUGGGACUGAGACACGGCCCAGACUCCUACGGGAGGCAGCAGUAGGGAAUCUUCGGCAAUGGACGGAAGUCUGGCCGAGCAACGCCGCGUGAGUGAAGAAGGUUUUCGGAUCGCAAAGCUCUGUUGUAAGAGAAGAACGAGUGUGAGAGUGGAAAGUUCACACUGUGACGGUAUCUUACCAGAAAGGGACGGCUAACUACGUG
rnacentral:rRNA from 1 species